rnacentral:lncRNA from 1 species
AUUAAGUGACUUCAUCAGGAUCAAACUGAUGAUAAGUAUUUAUUAUAGAGGUCAUAUUCAGGAAUUCCUGUCUUCAAAUCAAAGAAGAGAACAAAGUGAAGCCGACCAAAUUGAAAUCAGAAUGCUGGGGUACUCUGAUGAGAAGAAACCUAUUGUUUUACAGCAUUAAUUGAAACAAAUUCAGCUCAGGGAACCAUCUAUCAAAUUCAGUUCAAAUAAGUGGAAAAAUGUCAGAUGUGAUGUGGGUCUUGUACUAGCAUUAUAUUUGAAAUGAUAAAUAACUUUGAAGCACAAUACUAGCUAUCUCUCUCAGAUAUGUUGGUGCCUUCAAAGAACCAUAAUUUCAUUUUUGUGAGCAUGUCUUCAACAGAUACAGAUCAAAACAUCUCCCCUUUUUCUCACAUGUCCUCUGUGAUAGAUACUCCUUGAAUAUCAUUUCCAAAGAAGUAAAAAUGAAGAUAAUCACACAGGACACAAUGGGAUGGUUCAUUGUUGGUGAUUAGACUACAAAAGGAAACCACUGAAGAACGUUGAAGAACAGGAGAAAAAAAUCUAUAAAUGAACUGUAAAAUAAGAAAUGAUAAUCAUUCAUGAAAUAAGUGCAAGAGAUGAAAGAUAAACAGGCAAAGGUAUUCUCUUGUAGCAUUGGGAUGUCAAGAAAAAGCCAGGAAGACCUUUACCUUCUUGGAUGAAGUUUAUGUGGUUAACUAAGAGGAAAAUAUGAGCAAGAUCUAAGAUAGCUAUUAUCAGGAAUGGAUGGGCAGUGAUCUCUAUAUUUGGACAGAACAACCAGAUACAAGGUCACAGAUCCAUUGAACUAU